AACGUAGGAGACAAACGUUAUCCGGAAUUACUGGGCGUAAAGGGCGUGUAGGUGGUUUUGUAAGUCUGGCGUGAAAUAUCUCGGCUUAACCGAGGCAGGUCGUCGGAUACUGCAAGACUAGAGGACGGUAGAGGCGUGUGGAAUUCCGGGUGUAGUGGUGAAAUGCGUAGAGAUCCGGAGGAACACCAGUGGCGAAGGCGACACGCUGGGCCGUACCUGACGCUGAGGCGCGACAGCGUGGGGAGCAAACAGG
rnacentral:rRNA from 1 species